rnacentral:lncRNA from 1 species
GCAGUCUCUAGCCUCCUCGUGCAUGACUCUCAAGGUCUGUGGCUCAACGGAGAGAAUACAACGAUUUCAUAGAAUGAAUCCAUGAUCUAUCUAAUGACUUAGGAAGGUUGAGCAGGUUUCAUUACCUUGGUGUGAACAGAGCAGCUCCAGACAGAUCCUCCAUGCAGAUUUCAGUUGCCGACAGACACUUUUCCAGUCAGGGAGGACCAGUCAUGCUAUACAGCACAGUUCACAGAAGGAGGCCUGCUAGCUACAUUCGGACCAAGAAAAAUAUGCAAUUGCCAUAUCAGUGGGCACUUACAGAUUACAAGAGUCAUGCUGAGUGGCCCCAACAAUCAAACCACACUUGGAGCAGCAUCUGUAAUAGGAGCCAACAACUGAAAGACAUCUUUAAAAUCCUUCCAAAUUCAGCUGUCUUCUGCAUAGGACUAAUAGCUGAAAUAAGGGGAACAUGGAAGGAAUCACAUCUUUGCAUUUUGUUUUGGUCUCUGUUACUGUCACUAAUGCCUACAAUCCUUUAGGAGUUCAAUAUUGCACUUGUGUUUAUGACCUUUGUAACUUGUGAU